rnacentral:rRNA from 1 species
GACAGAGGGGGCGAGCGUUGUCCGGAGUCACUGGGCGUAAAGGGCCGGUAGGUGGCUUUAUAAGUCAGUUGUCAAAUACCCAUGCUUAACGUGGGAGAGGCGACUGAUACUGUAGAGCUUGAGUAGAGGAGGGGAUGACGGAAUACCCGGUGUAGGGGUGAAAUCUGUUGAUAUCGGGUAGAACACCGAUGGCGAAAGCGGUCAUCUAGCCUCAUACUGACACUCAACGGCGAAAGCCAGGGGAGUGAACGGG